CACGUGAGUAACCUGCCCUGGACUCUGGGAUAACCCCGAGAAAUCGGAGCUAAUACCGGAUAGGACCUUUCCCCGCAUGGGGUUUGGUGGAAAGUUUUUCGGUCUGGGAUGGACUCGCGGCCUAUCAGCUUGUUGGUGAGGUAAUGGCUCACCAAGGCGUCGACGGGUAGCCGGCCUGAGAGGGUGACCGGCCACACUGGGACUGAGACACGGCCCAGACUCCUACGGGAGGCAGCAGUGGGGAAUAUUGCACAAUGGGCGCAAGCCUGAUGCAGCAACGCCGCGUGCGGGAUGACGGCCUUCGGGUUGUAAACCGCUUUUAGUAGGGAAGAAGGGCUUCGGCUUGACGGUACCUGCAGAAAAAGGACCGGCUAACUACGUGCCAGCAGCCGCGGUAAUACGUAGGGUCCGAGCGUUGUCCGGAAUUAUUGGGCGUAAAGAGCUCGUAGGCGGUUUGUCGCGUCUGCUGUGAAAACUAGAGGCUCAACCUCUAGCCUGCAGUGGGUACGGGCAGACUUGAGUGGUGUAGGGGAGACUGGAAUUCCUGGUGUAGCGGUGGAAUGCGCAGAU
rnacentral:rRNA from 1 species